rnacentral:tRNA from 1 species
GGUAGGAUGGCUGAUAUAGGCAUUAGACUGUAAAUCUAAUUAUAAAGGUUGUAAUCCUUUUUCUACCA